CCCUUAGAUGUCCUGGGCCGCACGCGCGUUACACUGAUGCAUUCAACGAGCUUAUAACCUUGGCCGAGAGGCCUGGGCAAUCUUGUUAACGUGCAUCGUGAUAGGGAUAGAUUAUUGAAAUUAUUAAUCUUGAACGAGGAAUUCCUAGUAAACGCAGAUCAUCAAUCUGCAUUGAUUACGUCCCUGCCCUUUGUACACACCGCCCGUCGCACCUACCGAUUGGAUGGUCCGGUGAAGCCUCGGGAUUGUGGUUCUUGCCGCUUUAUUGUGGCGUGACCGCGAGAACUUGUCUAAACCUUAUCAUUUAGAGGAAGUAAAAGUCGUAACA
rnacentral:rRNA from 1 species